UACGGAGGGUGCGAGCGUUGUCCGGAAUCAUUGGGCGUAAAGGGCGCGUAGGUGGCGGCUUAAGCGUGCGGUGAAAGCUCGGGGCUCAACCCCGAGUCGGCCGUGCGAACUGAGUCGCUUGAGCACUGUAGAGGCAGGCGGAAUUCCGGGUGUAGCGGUGGAAUGCGUAGAGAUCCGGAAGAACACCGGUGGCGAAGGCGGCCUGACUGGGCAGUAGCUGGACACUGAGAAGCGAAAGCAUGGGGAGCGAACAGG
rnacentral:rRNA from 1 species